UUUAAAGAACUGGCCAAGUUUAAGGCCAAAGUGGCCUGCAUCGCAGAGUAUAAAGCAGAUCUCUUUGCCUUCAGAACUGAAGGACAGAGGACACAACUUUUUCAAUACCAGAAAGGAUUUUCAAGCCGAUUUUGUGAAAUAUUGGAAAGCUUUACAAAAACCCACAGAGGUACCUGUACCAUAUGAGAAGAUGCUACAAGACCAGUCAGCUUUGAUAGUACAGGGGCUUCCGGAAAGUGUUGCCUUUAAACACCCUGAGAACUAUGAUCUUGCAACCCUGAAAUGGAUUUUGGAGAACACAGCUGGGAUUUCAUUUGUUAUUAAUAGAGAUGGGGUUUCCUCACAUUGCCCAGGCUGGUGUCAAACUCCUGGGCUCAAACAAUCCACCUGCCUAGGCUUCCCAAAGUGCUUGGAUUACAGGCUAGAGUGCAGUGGUUUGAUCUCAGCUCACUGCAACCUUCGUCUCCCAGGUUCAAGUGAUUCUCCUGCCUCAGCCUCCUGAGUAGCUGGGAUUACAGUCAUUUCCCUGGAAGUGGCAGCUGUGACAGUAAAGGAAGAAUCAGAAGAUCCUGAUUAUGAUUUAUAUCACAUUCAAG